rnacentral:lncRNA from 1 species
CGAGCCCCGAGCCCGCGGAAGCCCCGGCGCGUCCCUCCCGCAGCCAUGGCAGGGGUCGUGGUGAGCGGAGCCCAAGUGUCCUAUAUUAGUCAAGACUGUGAAGAAAUUCCAGAAUUCCUAGGAAGAAAAUAUGGACAUAUGGCAAAAAGGCUAGACCUUAGCUUCAACAUGUUAAGGUAUGUGGCAAUAUAUAGAUUUCCAAGUGCAGUAUGGGACACCAACUCCAAAUACAGAAUAUUUAUUUAUUUAUUUUAAAAUUCGAAGUAGAAGCAUACAUGUAUGUUUCAUACAUUUAGUAGUUGACAAGUGGGCACCCUUGUUUUAUAGGCAAUGUUUGUUUCAUUUUCUUGUGCAUUUGGAACACAGAUAACCAGGUGAGUCUGGAAUUUUCUCAUGUUAACAUAAAUGUCCAGCAAGGAGCCUAUGGUUUAUUGUCUGCUCAGAAUGGAAAAUAAGCAUCAUUACCUGAAGAAGUGAAGAAUGGGAUCAAAAGUGAAUUGUUCUUAACCAAAUACACGUAAGUGUGUGCUUCACUUUCUUCUUUUUACUUGUAGAUCUGUGGUUAUUAACAUAAAUAACCAGAGAUUUGUAAUACUCUUUUCUCAGAUGAUCUGUUUUUGUUAUUGUUGUGGUAUGAUUUUAUUUUUGUGUAGUUAAGUGCUAAAGCUAAGUGCAGUUAGAAUUUAUUUUCAUAAUUUUAAUAUAUGGACUAAGAAUGCUGUAGUAUUCCCAUUAGUUAUUACACUGUCCUUUUUCAUUUAGUCCUUGUGAAGAGAGAAGGUGCUAGUUUUUGGAAUAACUGCAGUCAACUUUUGAUGUAGGAUAGCUUGCUGUUUAAAAUACAUUCUAAGGCCAAAAAACAGAUUUGGGGAAAGGAGACAGUUUUGUUGUGUGUUUGUUUUUCUUUUUUAGCUUAGGGAAGCUAAUACUAAAUGUGAUGAGAGCAGUAAUAUUUUUUUUAUUUAAGCUGUGGUAGAUAUACUAAACAUAUAGAAACUGAGAAUGAAGUAUUUAUUAUACAGUAGCUGUUAAGACUGAUCUGCAGUUAUAUAUGAACACUGCAUGUUAUAUAGACAGAUCUAGAAUAAAUGUCAUAGCCUUAAAUGAAUAUGAAUAUAGAAGUGAUGUCUUGGGCAGCUGUUGAAACAAGUGUAAACAGUCAGAUCAUUGUAAUUUUCUUUAAGCAAACAUUAUUGCUUAAAAAAUCUGACAGUACUCUAGUACAGUGAUGAGGUUUAUGAUUUUCAUCAGUGAAUGUUUAAUUUUAAAAGUUUAGUAUGUUGUCUUCAGUGAGGGAACUUAAUGUCUAUGCUUAAAUGCCUACACUUUAUUGUCUUUAAAAAGGAGUUUGGUUUUCUAGAAAAACCUGGUAUGUGUUAGUAAAGACAUAAGUUGGGUGAAGAAGACCAAGGGUGAUCAAAAUAUAGAAAAAGAUAAAGAGAUAUUGUGUUUUGGUGGCAUAGUAGUUAUUUGCAGUAAACAUAUUAGUUUUCAUUAUAAUAUGAUUCAUUAUUUAAUGAGAGCUUGAGUUCUUUUAGAAGAAAAAAAAUAUCUCAGUGGUCAUAAUUUUUUAGCCUGUAUUUAAACCAAGAAAUGCUGAAGUACUCAACAGUUACCAGUUCUCAGUGUUAGGCAGUAAAUAGGUGCUUACCAACCUUUUUUUAAAGUUGCUUUGCAUAUAAUAGGGUUUCUGUGUCAUGUUCUCUGUAAGUAUGGCUACUGCUGAGUGUAUUCUGGGAGGGAAUUAUCCUUCCGUAGCAGGCAAUAAAUUCUGUUAUGUAAAAAUGCCAAUAGAAUUUUUGACCACACAACAAUUACGUUAAGAAUUUAAGAAAUUGAACAUAGAAGGAAGGUUGUUUUUUUUUGUGUUUU